CUUUCUCACCUUCCCUUCACCGUACGUAGAAUCACAUCCUCAUUCUCAAAUUUCAAUGACCAUUUUCAUUCUUUUCUCUAAAUCUAGGGUUAGGAAUUCAAGAUCCGUAUUCAAUUUUAAGAAAAUUUAUGAAACCCUAAACCCCCUUUUGAUUCCGAUUGGAGAUCCAAGAAAAAGAUGAAGAGUACGACAUGAUAAUUUCAGGAACUGGUAUCAAGGAAUGCAUUCUUAGUGGUCUUCUCUCUGUCGAUGGCCUCAAGGUUCUUCACAUGGAUAGAAAUGACUAUUACGGAGGAGAAUCCACCUCGCUCAAUCUUAUUCAGGUCUUCUUUAGGGUAGAAUCAAACCAUUGAGAUUUAGAGGUGAAUUCCUUUCUUUCUUUUUUUGGGCAAAAUAUGUGAGUUUGUAUCUUUCAUCUUAUACAUGAUAGGGAAUGAUGGGCUCAUGUGAUCUAUGUAUCUGACUGCAUCUGGUGGGAAAAUAUCUCUUUGUUCUUUUUGUAUCUAUGCCAUGCCAUGAAUUUACUUGAUAUGAUUUGAUUUCAUUAGUAUUAGAAGCUUUAUGUUUCCCUGAUAAAACUUUUAUGAUCCUUUGCUGUAAAUGCUUGUCCUAAGAAACCAUAAAAGAUGCACAAAGGUGGAUGAGCUGAAAGGUUCUAUCAUUUACUUUUCUUGUCGUAUGAUUAACGUUUUGAGAUUUUGAACAAUAUUAUCUUCCAACUCAUUGAGACAUUUGUUGCAUAUAAAAUCUAGUAUUGUAAUCAGAAUUUUUCAGAGACUAACUUGAACCUUUAUUAUACCAAUUGCUGAUUUGAAAAUGCAUAUGGUUGGGGAAAACACCUUUCUAAAACAAAAAUCCCAUCAUAUAUGAUUGAUGCAAUAAGGUGAUGAUUGCACACAAGGAAGUUGUUGUUCAAGCAAUUGUUGUUCAUCUAUUAACGAGAUUGUCAGAUACACCAUACCAAAUCAUCAUUUUGUGCUUGGCUCUCGUUCGCCACGCAGACAGAGAAAUCCCAUGUAGCAACUUUACCACAUCUUUUUCCACUCAUGCUUAUAUACAAACAUUUUUCACUUGUCUAACAUCAAUUUUCUUGUUGUCAAGGUGCUUCUAUAUUAUGCGACCAACACACUGAAUGCACGUAUUCAAGAGUUUAGAAAGUAGGACUUUGUUAUGCUUAUCUAGUCGUUAGAAACCAGGCCUUUAGAAACCCGCUACUGCCAAAUGAUGAAAAGUAUCUCCAUGAUGGUUGGUUAACAAUGCUAGUGAAGGAGAUGCAUUUAUCAGAAUUUCUACCACAGGUAAGUAACCCAUGUAACAAGAUACAUUUAAUGAAGUGUUUCCUUGAGUAUCAGUUAAGUUUAUGGGUCUAUGGACUUGUAUAGGGUCUGUUCUCUUAAGCAGUGCGUCUAGAUUAAUCUUUAGUUCAACUUGGAUUUGUGGUUAGCAGUAGGCGUCAGAUUUGUGGUUAGCAGUAGGUUUAGUUUUCAUUUCAAAAGGGUUGAGGUUUGUAUCAACUAUGAGUUGUUUAGAGGAAAUGCAUAUGUAAAGGGUGUGAGAAAAUGUGAGAGGCUAUUAUUAAUUUUGUAUAGACAAGUUGGUAUGCAAGAGUUCUUUUUCUUUU